UACGGAGGGUGCUAGCGUUGUUCGGAAUCACUGGGCGUAAAGAGCGUGUAGGCGGCCCGGUAAGUCCGCUGUGAAAGUCGGGGGCUCAACCCUCGAAUGCCGGUGGAUACUGUCGGGCUAGAGUGCGGAAGAGGCGAGUGGAAUUCCUGGUGUAGCGGUGAAAUGCGCAGAUAUCAGGAGGAACACCAAUUGCGAAGGCAGCUCGCUGGGACGUGACUGACGCUGAGACGCGAAAGCGUGGGGAGCAAACAGG
rnacentral:rRNA from 1 species